UACGAAGGGGGCUAGCGUUGUUCGGAAUUACUGGGCGUAAAGCGCGCGCAGGCGGUUCUUUAAGUCAGGGGUGAAAGCCCAGAGCUCAACUCUGGAAUUGCCUUUGAGACUAGAGAACUUGGGUACGGGAGAGGUGAGUGGAAUUCCGAGUGUAGAGGUGAAAUUCGUAGAUAUUCGGAAGAACACCAGUGGCGAAGGCGGCUCACUGGCCCGUUACCGACGCUCAGGCGCGACAGCGUGGGGAGCAAACAGG
rnacentral:rRNA from 1 species